CGCGUAGGCGGGUCAGCAAGUCCGGGGUGAAAGCUUUCGGCUCAACCGGAAAAGGGCCUUGGAUACUGCUGGUCUGGAGGAAGGUAGGGGCGUGUGGAACUUCCGGUGGAGCGGUGAAAUGCGUAGAUAUCGGAAGGAACGCCGGUGGCGAAAGCGACACGCUGGACCUUUUCUGACGCUGAGGCGCGAAAGCCAGGGGAGCAAAACGG
rnacentral:rRNA from 1 species